UACGGGGGGGGUAAGCGUUGUUCGGAAUUACUGGGCGUAAAGGGCUCGUAGGCGGCCAACUAAGUCAGACGUGAAAUCCCUCAGCUUAACUGGGGAACUGCGUCUGAUACUGGAUGGCUUGGAUUUGGGAGAGGGAUGCGGAAUUCCAGGUGUAGCGGUGAAAUGCGUAGAUAUCUGGAGGAACACCGGUGGCGAAGGCGGCAUCCUGGACCAAUACUGACGCUGAGGAGCGAAAGCUAGGGGAGCAAACGGG
rnacentral:rRNA from 1 species